rnacentral:rRNA from 1 species
GGUGAAAUUCGUAGAUAUUCGGGAAGAAACACCCAGUGGGCGAAGGCGACUGAACUGGACAAGUAUUGGAACGCUGAAGGUGGCGAAAAGCGUGGGGGAGCAAAACAGGGAUUUAGAUACCCCUGGUAAGUCCCCCGCCCGUAAAACGAUGAUAAACUAAGCUGGUCCCGGUUACUUGGGUUACUUGGGUGGCGCAGCUAAACGCAUUAAAGUUAUCCGCCUGGGGAGUACGGUCGCAAGAUUAAAACUCAAAGGAAUUGACGGGGGCCUGCACAAGCGGUGGAGCAUGUGGUUUAAUUCGAAGCAACGCGCAGAACCUUACCAGCGUUUGACAUGCCGGUCGCGGAUUUGGGAGACCAUUUCCUUCAGUUCGGCUGGACCGUGCACAGGUGCUGCAUGGCUGUCGUCAGCUCGUGGUCGUGAGAUGUUGGGUUAAGUCCCGCAACGAGCGCAACCCUCGUCCUUAGUUGCCAGCAUUUGGUUGGGCACUCUAAGGAAACUGCCGGUGAUAAGCCGGAGGAAGGUGGGGAUGACGUCAAGUCCUCAUGGCCCUUACACGCUGGGCUACACACGUGCUACAAUGGCGGUGACAGUGGGCAGCAAGCACGCGAGUGUGAGCUAAUCUCCAAAAGCCGUCUCAGUUCGGAUUGUUCUCUGCAACUCGAGAGCAUGAAGGCGGAAUCGCUAGUAAUCGCGGAUCAGCAUGCCGCGGUGAAUACGUUCCCAGGCCUUGUACACACCGCCCGUCACACCAUGGGAGUUUGAUCCUGGCUCAGAUCGUAACAAGGUAACC